GGCCUUAACUCGGUAACAAUUUGCCCUUAUAUUCAUGCUCGCCGGGGCAACCCGGCUAUGGCGAUAAACGGAAGUCGUAAUAAACCAUUCGGACCCGGGGGCAGUACCCGGCGCCUCCACCAAAGCCCGGUUGGGCUUUGGCUAGCUUGGCCAAGUCCUGAGACGGGCUUUGGCGGGGGCGAACUAGGAUCGACGAGGGCGUAAAGGACCUACUUUUGCUCGGCAUGGUUCCGCCGUUAUCGGGCCGAUUUGUAGUUGCAAACGACAACUAUGCUCCGGUUGCUCAGGCUGCGUAAGCGGUUUGAAAAACCAAGACUAGAAGUCCUGGCGGGUUAAGCUCCGUCAGGCGGGGUUCGGAGGCACCUGGCAACAGAAGCCUCCACU
rnacentral:tmRNA from 1 species